rnacentral:rRNA from 1 species
GACGAACGCUGGCGGCGUGCUUAACACAUGCAAGUCGAACGGAAAGGCCCUGCUUUUGUGGGGUGCUCGAGUGGCGAACGGGUGAGUAACACGUGAGUAACCUGCCCUUGACUUUGGGAUAACUCCAGGAAACUGGGGCUAAUACCGGAUAGGAGCUCCUGCUGCAUGGUGGGGGUUGGAAAGUUUCGGCGGUGGGGGAUGGACUCGCGGCUUAUCAGCUUGUUGGUGGGGUAGUGGCUUACCAAGGCUUUGACGGGUAGCCGGCCUGAGAGGGUGACCGGCCACAAUGGGACUGAGAUACGGCCCAGACUCCUACGGGAGGCAGCAGUGGAGAAUAUUGCACAAUGGGCGGAAGCCUGAUGCAGCAACGCCGCGUGCGGGAUGACGGCCUUCGGGUUGUAAACCGCUUUCGCCUGUGACGAAGCGUGAGUGACGGUAAUGGGUAAAGAAGCACCGGCUAACUACGUG